rnacentral:rRNA from 1 species
CGCGAAUGGCUCAUUACAACAGCUAUAAUUUACUUGAUCUUGACACAAUCCUACUUGGAUAACUGUGGUAAUUCUAGAGCUAAUACAUGCAUUAAAGCUCUGACCGUAAGGAAAGAGUGCAUUUAUUAGAACAAAACCAAGCGGCCUUCGGGCUGUUUUCGGUUGACUCAUAGUAACUGAGCUGAUCGCAUGGGCUUGUCCCGGCGACGUGUCUUUCAUGUAUCUGCCGUAUCAUCUUUCGAUGGUAGUGUAAUUGACUACCAUGGUGAUCACGCGUAACGGAGAAUAAGGGUUCGACUCCGGAGAGUUCGCCUGAGGAAUCGCGAACACAUCUAAGGAAGGCAGCAGGCGCGAAAAUUACCCACUCUCAGCACGAGGAGGUAGUGACGAAAAAUAACGAGACUGUUCUCUUAUGAGGCCAGUCAUCGGAAUGGGUACAAUUUAAACCCUUUAACGAGUAUCUAUGAGAGGGCAAGUCUGGUGCCAGCAGCCGCGGUAAUUCCAGCU